rnacentral:rRNA from 1 species
AGUGAACGCUGGCGGUAGGCCUAACACAUGCAAGUCGAACGGCAGCACAGGAGAGCUUGCUCUCUGGGUGGCGAGUGGCGGACGGGGGAGGAAUACAUCGGAAUCUACUCUGUCGUGGGGGAUGGAGUAGGGAAACUUACGCUAAUACCGCAUACGACCCACGGGUGAAAGCAGGGGACCUUCUGUCCGUGCGCGAGCGAAGGAGCUGAUUGCGGGAUAUCUAGUUGGCGGGGUAAAGGCCCACCAAGGCGACGAUGCGUAGCUGGUCUGAGGGGAUGAUCCGGCACACUGGAAAUGAGACACGGUCCAGACUCCUACGGGGGGCAACAGUGGGGAAUAUUGGACAAUGGGCGCAAGCCUGAUCCAGCCAUACCGCGUGGGUGAAGAAAGCCUUCGGGUUGUAAAGCCCUUUUGUUGGGAAAGAAAUCCAGCAGGCUAAUACCCGGUUGGGAUGACGGUACCCAAAGAAUAAGCACCGGCUAACUUCGUGCCAGCCGCCGCCGUAA